AGGAAAAGAAACAAAAGCGAUUCCCGUAGUAGCGGCGAGCGAAAUGGGAGCAGCCUAAACCGUGAAAACGGGGUUGUGGGAGAGCAAUACAAGCGUCGUGCUGCUAGGCGAAUCAGUGGAGUGCGGAACCCUAGAUGGUGAAAGUCCAGUAGCCGAAAGCAUCACUAGCUUAUGCUCUGACCCGAGUAGCAUGGGGCACGUGGAAUC
rnacentral:rRNA from 14 species